AACGAACGCUGGCGGCAGGCUUAACACAUGCAAGUCGAACGAGAUCUUCGGAUCUAGUGGCAGACGGGUGAGGAACACGUGGGAACAUCCCUUUCAGUUCGGAAUAACGUUGGGAAACUAACGCUAAUACCGGAUACGUCCUUCGGGAGAAAGAUUUAUCGCUGAAAGAUUGGCCCGCGUCUGAUUAGCUAGUUGGUGAGGUAACGGCUCACCAAGGCUACGAUCAGUAGCUGAUCUGAGAGGAUGAUCAGCCACAUUGGGACUGAGACACGGACCAAACUCCUCCGGGAGUCAACAGUGGGGAGUAUUGGACAAUGGCCGCAAGCCGGGUCCAGCCAUGCCGCGUGAGUGAUGAAGGCCUUCGGGUUGUAAAGCUCUUUUGUCCGGGAAGAUAAUGACUGUACCGGAAGAAUAAGCCCCGGCAAACUUCGUGCCAGCCGCCGCCGUAA
rnacentral:rRNA from 1 species